GGGGAGGGAAAGGAUUACAAACAAGUUUGGCAGCUGGAAGAGGAUUUUUUUUCUGUAAUGCUGCGUACGUACUCUCUUCCACUCCUGACAACCAUGGGCCCCUAGGUAAAUCCUCAGCCAGCCACAGGUUGUGCCUAGUCUGUGCCUAUCAGCAGAGUAUCUCAGCACCUUACGGUUGUACACUAAGCAACAUCUCCAAGCACUGUGCAAACACUGAUCCCUAGAUCACUCCUGUGAAGCAGGUAGAAAAAUGAAACCUACACACUUGCCAUACCUGUUACUGACCUGCUUUCUUCUACAUGAGGCUGCCUGUAAACCCUUAAAACCCAAUUGUGAUCUUGUAAAAUGCAAGACAUGUCCAAAGCAACAUAUCGCAGUGGCGUCUAAGAACAAGUGCUGCGCAACCUGCGUCCCUACGUGUUCCUGCCCCGACCACCAGGAGUUUGAAUGCAACAUGCAAGGCUUUAAAUAUGGAAAGAUCCCCCUGGGAGAGUCUUACUACAUAGACUUUGCCACCACGAAGUGCACCUGUGUUUCUCCUGGGAAUAUCUCCUGCACCUCGCUUUGCCCUACGGUUUCUCCCACAUGCAAGGAAACAGGAGGAGUGGCUGAUGGCUGCCCUCAAUGUAUCUGUCACAUUGAGGAUUACAGUUUUGUAGUUGCUGGAAGUACCAUCCAAAGAGAUGCAGAGACUUGCAAAUGUCCCCCUGGAGGUGGCAAGCUUCAGUGCACCCCCUCUAAAUCUCACAUUGCUAGUACACCCAGCGCCAACACAGAGUAGGCCCUGCUCUCAGCAUGAGCUAAGUGUCAGUGCCAAGGGAAGGUCUUUGUGGUUAGAAUAGAGGAGAAGUUCAGCAAUGUCCUUGGGCAGCUUAUGGAAAACUCACACAGAAUAUAAAAGAAACUGAUUGCCUUGCUAGAGGUGUUUUUGGUGGGGUCCCAGUGGCAGAACAGUGAAACCAUCUCAUGAAGGCUCCAGGGAACAUGCCCCACUCUGGAUUCAUGCCAUAGCCUAGUGAGGGACCAACCUUUUCGGCAGGCGUGCCAUGAAUUAACCCCACACCCUCCCUGAGGGCCCCUCUGAUCCCCUUCUCCUGUCCAGUCUGCUGCUCUGUUUUCUGUUCCCAGGCCUGUGCUCCCUGCCCUAUCUGCUGCUGUGCUGCCUGUCCCCUCCCCAGUCAGCUGUAUGCCACACACAAAGGCUGCUCAUGCCACCCCUAUCAUAGGUCAUCCCCUGUCAAUCAGGGUUUAAAAAGGUAUCUGGUCAUUCAGCCUAGCCACAUUGCUCCCUUUUGUGCUGAUUGCAUGCCUUAGCAAUGCUAACUUUAUGGGCAGCUAAGCUCAACUGGACCUUUGACUUAUGGGUGUUUCAAGCUGUCCUAUACAAUUUAAUAAAGAAUCAGAUUCCUGCUAUAGCAUUUCAUAGAGUUGCUAUCCUUUAUGAUAUCUAUAAGCCAGUUCAAAGCAUUUAUAGUAAGGCAACCUUUUUCU